UUCAAGUGCUCCAUCAUCAUCUUCUUCAGAUUUGAUGCCACGUCAAAUGAACAUUGCAUAUAGUAAGUGGCAUAACAACAGGCAUUCUGGUAAACACCUUUAUUCUUUGAGGAUAACUGGACACAAGUUUGGUGACAAUAGUCUUAAUGAUAUAUGUCACCUAAGACACUUGAGGCUUCUUAGAGUGUUGCAACUGGAUGACUCUUCAAUUCUGUUGAGUGAUUCUUUGUUGAAUGAAAUAUGCAGACUGGUUCAUUUGAGAUACUUAGAGAUUCGCACAGAAGUUAAAUCUCUGCCUUCGUCGUUUUCAAAUCUCUUGAAUCUGGAAACUCUGUGGGUGAAUAAAUAUGGACCACCCAUGGUAUUAUUACCAACAAUUUGGAAUCUUAUAAAGUUGCGAGUGCUGGCUAUAUAUAAAUGUUUCUUCUUUGUUUUGUAUAAGAAUGAGUCAAUACUGGUUGCAGAGAACUCAAAGUCAGAGAGCUUGAGAUUAUUACGGGGACUCGAAGUUUCCUAUUCAAAAGACACAGAGGAUAUUUUCAAAAGGUUUCCCAAUCUUCACAAGCUUCGAUUUGAUCUCAAGGAAUCAUGGGAUUGUUCAAGAGGGCGAUAUCGGUUCCCGAAAUUGGACUUCUUAAAUGAACUAGAAUCUCUCGAAGUAACUUUUAUAAGUUCAAAUUCAAAUGAUAGUGCGCUCUCUAUAGCGACAAAUCGGCUUUGGGAUUUUCAUUUCCCUUCGAGUGUAAAAAUGUUGUGUUUGCGUGAGUUUCCUCUGACAUCCGAUUCACUAUCAACAAUUGGAAUACUGUCCAACCUUGAAGAGCUGUACCUUAAAGACACAAUCAUCGAGGGGGAAGAAUGGAACAUGGGGGAGGAAGACACCUUCCAGAAUCUCAAAUGUUUGACAUUGCAGCGAGUGAAUCUUGCUAAGUGGGAGGUUAGAGAGGAAUCCUUUCCUGUGCUUGAGAAAUUACGACAGCGGGAUUGUCGUUAGCUUGAGGAGAUUCAGCCAAGUUUCGGGGAUAUUUGUUCAUUAAAAAGUAUCGAACUGAAGUGGAGCCCUCAACUUGUAGAAUCUGCUCUGAAGAUUAAGCAAGAUGUUGAAGAUAUGAUGGGGGAUAUUCAGGUCCUUGUUUAUAACUGAUCAAGUUUUGAGCAUUUUUACCUUGGGAAAAUAGGUGAGUACAGACGAAUUUAUUACCUCCUCAUUUUCAGUAUAAGUGGCAGAGUUUGACCAGUGUAAUUUUCUUUUGCAGAGUUUGACGAGUUGUUUGCAUAUCAUAUGUUACUGCUCAAGUCCAAAAACAUAUGAUGGAAUAAUUCUUUUGGAAGUUGAUUUGGAGGAUAGCAAGAAGUGAAACAAAAGGUGGGCAACCUCUGUACUAUAUGAAAGUUAUCUUAUACCUCAGAUUUUUCAAGUUUUUAUAUAUCUUUCAACAAAUACCUUCACAAUCAGCUCAUCGGCGCAUAGAGUUUUAGUUGUGAUGCAGGCUGGUGGAAUUCACACGCACCAAGAAUCAGCCCAUCGACGCAUUUGGAGUUGGAGGCUGCUGUAUCAUGAUCGAGAUGUGAAUUCAAUUUAAGUCAGAGUGUAUAUAAUAUAGGCAAGUACAGUGAUGAAGAAGUUGUGAAUACAAUGCCAUUCUCCUCAUCUCUUUCACCAAUCUUUCAAAUGCUACCCACUGAGGGCUCAAAUUUUUAAAAGCAGAAUAAUGGGUGUAAUGCCACUUCCAUUAUUACUAUUCAGCACUAUGUGGGAUUAUACUAGGUCAAAAUAAUUUGAAUUCCUUUAUUUUCCGUAAAGAAGAGGACGUGAUGAGGGUUAUAGUAUUAAGUUAUGACAAUUUAUGUGAUCCCUUAAAGUCGUGCUUGGUUCACCUUGCAUGUUUUCCGGAGGACGAAGUAAUUCCUGUCCGUAAUUUGGAAAUUUUAUGGCCUGCUGAAGGAUUUUUGGAGCAGAGAGAGAAGAAUAGUGUGGAAGAAGUGGUUGCGAUUUAUCUGGAUAAUUUAAUUUCCAGUAGCUUGGUAAUUUCUUUCGAUAAAAUAGGUGACAAUCGGACUUGCCAAAUUCAUGAUCUUGUGCAUGAGUUUUGUUUGAUAAAAGCAAGAGAGGAAAAGUUAUUUGACUUGAUAAGUUCAAGUGCUCCAUCAUCAUCUUCUUCAGAUUUGAUGCCACGUCAAAUGAACAUUGCAUAUAGUAAGUGGCAUAACAACAGGCAUUCUGGUAAACACCUUUAUUCUUUGAGGAUAACUGGACACAAGUUUGGUGACAAUAGUCUUAAUGAUAUAUGUCACCUAAGACACUUGAGGCUUCUUAGAGUGUUGCAACUGGAUGACUCUUCAAUUCUGUUGAGUGAUUCUUUGUUGAAUGAAAUAUGCAGACUGGUUCAUUUGAGAUACUUAGAGAUUCGCACAGAAGUUAAAUCUCUGCCUUCGUCGUUUUCAAAUCUCUUGAAUCUGGAAACUCUGUGGGUGAAUAAAUAUGGACCACCCAUGGUAUUAUUACCAACAAUUUGGAAUCUUAUAAAGUUGCGAGUGCUGGCUAUAUAUAAAUGUUUCUUCUUUGUUUUGUAUAAGAAUGAGUCAAUACUGGUUGCAGAGAACUCAAAGUCAGAGAGCUUGAGAUUAUUACGGGGACUCGAAGUUUCCUAUUCAAAAGACACGGAGGAUAUUUUCAAAAGGUUUCCCAAUCUUCACAAGCUUCGAUUUGAUCUCAAGGAAUCAUGGGAUUGUUCAACAGGGCGAUAUCGGUUCCCGAAAUUGGACUUCUUAAAUGAACUAGAAUCUCUCGAAGUAACUUUUAUAAGUUCAAAUUCAAAUGAUAGUGCGCUCUCUAUAGCGACAAAUCGGCUUUGGGAUUUUCAUUUCCCUUCGAGUGUAAAAAUGUUGUGUUUGCGUGAGUUUCCUCUGACAUCCGAUUCACUAUCAACAAUUGGAAUACUGUCCAACCUUGAAGAGCUGUACCUUAAAGACACAAUCAUCGAGGGGGAAGAAUGGAACAUGGGGGAGGAAGACACCUUCCAGAAUCUCAAAUGUUUGACAUUGCAGCGAGUGAAUCUUGCUAAGUGGGAGGUUAGAGAGGAAUCCUUUCCUGUGCUUGAGAAAUUACGACAGCGGGAUUGUCGUUAGCUUGAGGAGAUUCAGCCAAGUUUCGGGGAUAUUUGUUCAUUAAAAAGUAUCGAACUGAAGUGGAGCCCUCAACUUGUAGAAUCUGCUCUGAAGAUUAAGCAAGAUGUUGAAGAUAUGAUGGGGGAUAUUCAGGUCCUUGUUUAUAACUGAUCAAGUUUUGAGCAUUUUUACCUUGGGAAAAUAGGUGAGUACAGACGAAUUUAUUACCUCCUCAUUUUCAGUAUAAGUGGCAGAGUUUGACCAGUGUAAUUUUCUUUUGCAGAGUUUGACGAGUUGUUUGCAUAUCAUAUGUUACUGCUCAAGUCCAAAAACAUAUGAUGGAAUAAUUCUUUAGGAAGUUGAUUUGGAGGAUUGCAAGAAGUGAAACAAAAGGUGGGCAACCUCUGUACUAUAUGAAAGUUAUCUUAUAUCUCAGAUUUUUCAAGUUUUUAUAUAUCUUUCAACAAAUACCUUCACAAUCAGCUCAUCGGCGCAUAGAGUUUUAGUUGUGAUGCAGGCUGGUGGAAUUUGGACAAGAGGGGUUGCUCUGAUGGUAAGAAACCCCCACUUCCAACCGAGAGGUUGUGAGUUCGAGUCUCCGAAAGAGCAAGGUGGGAAGUUUCUUGGAGGGAAAGAUGCUGGGGGUCUAUUUGGAAACAGCCUCUCUACCCCAGGGUAGAGGUAAGGUCUGAGUACAUACUACCCUCCCCAGACCCCACUAUGUGGGAUUAUACUAGGUCAAAAUAAUUUGAAUUCCUUUAUUUUCCGAAAAGAAGAGGACAUGAUGAGGGUUAUAGCAUUAAGUUAUUACAAUUUACGUGAUCCCUUGAAGUCGUGCUUGAUUCACCUUGCAAGUAUUCCGAAGGACGAAGUAAUUCCAAUCCGUAAUUUGGAAAUUUUAUGGCCUGCUGAAGGAUUUUUGGAGCAGAGAGAGAAGAAGAGUGUGGAAGAAGUGGUUGCGAUUUAUCUGGAUAAUUUAAUUUCCAGUAGCUUGGUAAUUUCUUUCGAUAAAAUAGGUGACGAUCAGACUUGCCAAAUUCAUGAUCUUGUGCAUGAGUUUUGUUUGAUAAAAGCAAGAGAGGAAAAGUUAUUUGACUUGAUAAGUUCAAGUGCUCCAUCAUCAUCUUCUUCAGAUUUGAUGCCACGUCAAAUGAACAUUGCAUAUAGUAAGUGGCAUAACAACAGGCAUUCUGGUAAACACCUUUAUUCUUUGAGGAUAACUGGACACAAGUUUGGUGACAAUAGUCUUAAUGAUAUAUGUCACCUAAGACACUUGAGGCUUCUUAGAGUGUUGCAACUGGAUGACUCUUCAAUUCUGUUGAGUGAUUCUUUGUUGAAUGAAAUAUGCAGACUGGUUCAUUUGAGAUACUUAGAGAUUCGCACAGAAGUUAAAUCUCUGCCUUC
rnacentral:lncRNA from 1 species